UCAGUAAAUGAUCUGAAUAGUUCAUCCACCAUGGCAGAUAUUAAGAAAUCUCUGAGGUUUCUGUCUCCACCACAGUACAAUGGAGUGCAUUGGGUUGCUGGCAGAUAUUUCAGAUAAAACCAUGACAAUCAUCACCGCAAGAUAUCAUAAGAGAAAAAUAAUGAGCCUGCAUACCGAGCGGGGAACUUCACAGACCUCAUUCAGUCCCAGGUUUCUGCCCUGUGCAUCUUCCUGCAGAAUAAUUGCAAGUACAUAUAUUUGUUAUUUCAACCCAGUCAAGAUAUAUUUAUCCUUUGCAUAUUCUCCAGGAUGAUUUUUGUCAUGUUUAUCGGGAUAAUUAGCU